UUUUUUGUUUUUCUUUUUAAAUGGUUUUCAAUUUUCAAAUUUCAAUAUCCUAAAUAAAUAACCGUUCAGAAGGCCUUUAACCUAAUCGGCCGGAUCGAAACAAGCUUGUUAAUCUCAGCCGUCUAUUAUAUCAACAAUCGGAUCUAACCAGGUUGCCCUUCCUCUAUAUAACAACUCGUUUCCUCUUUCCCGAACUCAGCUUUCAAUUAGGGUUUACGUUUUAUCAAACAUCUGAUUAUUUCUCCGCCGUUGGAGUCUACAAGAUUAUGUUUGUUAAACUUUCCGUCCAAGACUGGUUAUUCACAUAAUAGGUGAAAAGACCAUAACCGGUAUUGUAGCUUGCUUGGAACCGAUAACCAUGCAUAUAAAGUGGUGCCUGGUCUCCUUCCGGUUGCUCAACCUAGCUAGAACUAAAAAAAAUAAGUUUUUAUUUUGGGUUAAGUAAGUUGUUUGGCUAAAAAAAACUUUUACCAUAUUUUCUAUGUUCAUUGAUAGCAAUUAUCGUUAAUGUUUAUGAGAAGCUCUAACAUGGUAUGAAGUCGGGUUUACAGA